rnacentral:lncRNA from 1 species
UUUCCUCUGUUUGCCGAAAAGGAGAUUCCCGGUCGGAAUAUUAUCGCUUUUCUACGAGAAAAAUGGCAUAAAAAUUGAUUUUAAACAGCGGUUGACAUGCUUCGAAGUACGGUAAUGGAAUAUUUAGAAUUUUUUUGUCACGAUUUGCGCCAUGCGCACGACCCUUAUUUACCAUUUCGGAUAGUGUCUGGGACGCACGAACAAAACGCCGCUAUUCGGAUAUAACGAUGGAUUAUUUUGGACCAAACCAACAUUUGUUAUUGAAGUGGCAGUCCUGGGAGUGCAUUCUGACGAAGACAACAAAAGGUCCAAAGAGGCCAACGGUGCUGUCUAAAAUCUCCCAAGAUUCCUUUUCUGAAGUUGCUCUUGCAAUGUCGCUCACAAUCCACACAGCAGAGCAGUUUCCAACAAACUGUAGAAGUAUAACGUUAACUAAGAACGUUCCAACAGUAAAG